UUUGUUUUCCUGUUCAGAGUUGACUCAUUUGUUUCUAAGUUGUAUGCUAACACCACCCCGGAAAUUUGAAGACUUCCGUAAUCUGAUUACUGUUUUGCUUGUGGGUGUCAUAAUUACAACUGACAUUUCAUUUGGGGCUCAACUUGUUGACCUACAUUUGCAACGUUGCAUUGGGAUUGAACUUUUGGGAUGUCAAUAUAAAUAUUAUAUCAAUCUCACUUUUCUGAGUAUUAGCCAUUGUGAUGUAAUUGGAUCAAAUUUCUUGUAUAUAAUCCCAUGUGAAGCAAACACACGAAUUUAGCUCUAUACAUUUCAGGCCUGGUUCUCAUUUCUAUGUAUACAACUUGGAUAGUUUUAUGAUUAAUAUGCUCGAUAUGAUUUUAAUAAAUGUUAUCCAAACUAAUUGCCUCUAGUUGGUAAUGAUGUAAUUCGAUUUUCAUAGGUAGUUUUUGAUAUCAAUAAUCAAAUUUUUUAGAUAUGUGCAAUAGAUCACUGUGAAUAUAUGCGUAACAGGUCACUGUGAAGUGUAAUAAGUGUGGUGAAGUAUGUUUGAAUUUAUAACUCAAAUCCAAUGAUUUAAUUGCUAAUUUGAGAAUGGAAUGGUACUGUUUAUGUCAAGUGUUCAUUUUCUUCUUAUUUGUGUACAACUUUAAUAACAUGUCAGAAUGCUAUUAAGUAUUAUUCCACCGGUCCAAGAGUAUUUCCUUUUCCUUAGAAUUUUCGAUAGCUUCCCGGGGGCGUAGAAGGCUUAUUAAUAUACAGAUUUUGUUAAGCAUAAGCUCAAUAGAAGUAGUUGGGUGUUGAGUAAAUUCCUUGUCAUCAUGUACAUACGGGGUUGUUCCUAAUUGUGCAACAUAGGACUAAAAAGAACUUUUUCUUUGAGGUAAUUACCUUCACGCACAAGGUUCUCUUAUUUGCCAGAAGAAAAUAAUAAGAGUUCCGCGAUGAAAAAUUCCCAUGUCAUAAUUGAUUGCUCCGCUCGUAAGGUUUGAAAUCAAAUGUUCAAUCACACUACAACGUUGCCAAUAUAGGUUAGUAAGUUGAGCCCAAAUGAUGUCAGUAUUAACUAUGACACCCACAAGCGGAACACUAUUCAGAUUACGGAAACCUUCAUAUUUCGGGGGUGGUGUAGGCAUACAGUGACUUAGAUCAGAUGAGUCAAUUCUGAACAUGAAAACAAAUAAGAUGGUAUUUUGUAGGCACUGGUUGUACGAUUGUGAAGUUUCACUUCCCUAACUCCACAGUUUGAUAUGUUUUUAAUCCAAAUAUCUAUAUCUGAAUAGAGAUGAAGAGGCAGAUCAUUAGGAUUGCAAAGAAUAAACUUCAAUAUGAGACCUCCACAAGAUAAAAGAAUACUGCUGCCGGUUAUUGAAAAUUCAUAUAGUUUAGUUUCUCUAAUUCUGAAAGGAAACCUCUGAGAAAGCCGGUUGAAGAAAAGGUCAUCAAAAACUAGGUGUGAGUGCAUUUCCCAUAUACCCCUCUAUGUUUUUGAGAGAAUGCUCAUUCUUGCUACACAGUCAACCGGCAAUCACUUUUGAAUUAGGUAUAGUAAGUCACAGGGCAUGUCACUUUUGAAUUAGACCUUAUUCUAUAGCGAUUGCCGGUUGACUGUAUUGCAAGAAUGUGCAUUCUCUCAAAAACAUGGAGGGGUAAAUGAGAAAUGCACCCACACCUAGUUUUUGAUGACCUUUUCUUCAAUCGGCUUUCUUAGAGGUUUACUUCCAGAAUUAGAGAAACUAAACUAUAUGAAUUUUCAAGAACCGUCAGCAGUAGUCUUUUAUCUCGUAGUGGUAUCAUAUUGAAGUUUGUUCUUUGCAUUCCUCAUGAUUUGUUUCUUCAUCUCUAUUUAGAUAUAGUUAUUUGGAUUAAAAACAUAACAAACAAUGGAGUUAGGGAAGUGCAACUUCAUAAUCGUAUAUUGAGUGCCUACAAAAUACCAUCUUAUUUGUUUUCCUGUUCAGAGUUGACUUAUUUGAUUCUAAGUUGUAUGCUCACACCACCCCGGAAAUUUGAAGACUUCCGUAAUCUGAUUACUGUUUUGCUUGUGGGUGUCAUAAUUACAACUGGCAUUUCAUUUGGUGCUCAACUUGUUGACCUACAUUUGCAACGUUGCAUUGGGAUUGAACUUUUGGGAUGUCAAUAUAAAUAUUAUAUCAAUCUCACUUUUCUGAGUAUUAGCCAUUGUGAUGUAAUUGGAUCAAAUUUCUUGUAUAGAAUCCCAUGUGAAGGAAACACACGAAUUUAGCUCUAUACAUUUCAGGCCUGGUUCUCAUUUCUAUGUAUACAACUUGGAUAGUUUUAUGAUUAAUAUGCUCGAUAUGAUUUUAAUAAAUGUUAUCCAAACUAAUUGCCUCUAGUUGGUAAUGAUGUAAAUCGAUUUUCAUAGGUAGUUUUUGAUAUCAAUAAUCAAAUUUUUUAGAUAUAUGCAACAGAUCACUGUGAAUAUAUGCGUAACAGGUCACUGUGAAGUGUAAUAAGUGUGAGUGAAGUAUGUUUGAAUUUAUAACUCAAAUCCAAUGAUUUAAUUGCUAAUUUGAGAAUGGAAUGGUACUGUUUAUGUCAAGUGUUCAUUUUCUUCUUAUUUGUGUACAACUUUAAUAACAUGUCAGAAUGCUAUUAAGUAUUAUUCCAUCGGUCCAAGAGUAAUUCCUUUUCCUUAGAAUUUUCGAUAGCUUCUCGGGGGCGUAGAAGGCUUAUUAAUAUACAGAUUUUGUUAAGUAUAAGCUCAAUAGAAGUAGUCCGGUGUUAAGUAAAUUCCUUGUCAUCAUGUACAUACGGGGUUGUUCCUAAUUGUGCAACAUAGGACUAAAAAGAACUUUUUCUUUGAGGUAAUUACCUUCACGCACAAGGUUCUCUUAUUUGCCAGAAGAAAAUAAUAAGAGUUCCGCGAUGAAAAAUUCCCAUGUCAUAAUUGAUUGCUCCGCUCGUAAGGUUUGAAAUAAAAUGUUCAAUCACACUACAACGUUGCAUAUAUAGGUUAGUAAGUUGAGCCCAAAUGAUGUCAGUAUUAACUAUGACACCCACAAGCGGAACACUAUUCAGAUUACGGAAACCUUCAUAUUUCGGGGGUGGUGUAGGCAUACAGUGACUUAGAUCAGAUGAGUCAAUUCUGAAAAUGAAAACAAAUAAGAUGGUAUUUUGUAGGCACUGGUUUUACGAUUGUGAAGUUUCACUUCCCUAACUCCACAGUUUGAUAUGUUUUUAAUCCAAAUAUCUAUAUCUGAAUAGAGAUGAAGAGGCAGAUCAUUAGGAUUGC
rnacentral:lncRNA from 1 species